rnacentral:rRNA from 1 species
CAACAUUUGUAGCAAUACAGAUGUUGUUUAGUGGCGAACGGGUGCGUAACACGUGGGCAAUCUGCCGAGAAGUGGGGGAUAGCUCGCCGAAAGGCGAAUUAAUACCGCAUAUGAUCAGGGACGACAUCUUCCCAACAUCAAAGCCGGGGCAACCUGGCGCUUCUUGAUGAGCCCGCGGCCUAUCAGCUAGUUGGUGAGGUAACGGCCCACCAAGGCUAUGACGGGUAGCUGGUCUGAGAGGACGACCAGUCACACUGGAACUGAGACACGGUCCAGACACCUACGGGUGGCAGCAGUCGAGAAUUUUUCUCAAUGGGGGCAACCCUGAAGGAGCGACGCCGCGUGGAGGAUGAAGGCUUUCGGGUUGUAAACUCCUGUCGUUUGAGAACAAGUGUAGCCAAGUAACUACUGGCUACUUGAUAGUAUCAGAAGAGGAAGGGACGGCUAACUCUGUGCCAGCAGCCGCGGUAAUACAGAGGUCCCAAGCGUUGUUCGGAUUCAUUGGGCGUAAAGGGUGCGUAGGUGGCGUGGUAAGUCGGGUGUGAAAUUUCGGAGCUUAACUCCGAAACUGCAUUCGAUACUGCCGUGCUUGAGGACUGGAGAGGAGACUGGAAUUUACGGUGUAGCAGUGAAAUGCGUAGAGAUCGUAAGGAAGACCAGUGGCGAAGGCGGGUCUCUGGACAGUUCCUGACACUGAGGCACGAAGGCCAGGGGAGCAAACGGGAUUAGAUACCCCGGUAGUCCUGGCAGUAAACGGUGCACGUUUGGUGUGGGAGGAUUCGACCCCUU